rnacentral:rRNA from 1 species
AUGGCCGCGGUGGUCCGGAGCGUGUGGCAGGGCAUCAGGGAGAAGGGCCUCACCAACUUCCUCCGCCACGCCCGCGAAGAGGGAUACCUAAAAUGCCUUGGGGACGGAAACCUAUUGCAAACCAAAAUUCACAACAUUGGUGCAACCCUUGUAGGAGUUGACACUUUUGGAAACAAGUACUAUGAGAAACUACAUGACACUCAGUAUGGAAGGCAUAGGUGGGUAGAGUAUGCGGACAAGGGUCGCUACAAUGCAUCCCAAGUGCCUGCUGAAUGGCAUGGAUGGCUGCACCACAUUACAGACAGCACUGGAGAUAAGCUGCUGGAGGAGAAGACUAAAAAGUUCAUUAGGGAGCACAGACAGAACUACACCGGACAGGGUGACGACUUGAUCUACCACUCCAAGGGGCAUGCUCUGAACCCAGGGCAAAGGGACUGGACAAGGUACCAGCCUUGGGAACCAAAGAAAGAAGAGGCCACCUGA